AUUGAACGCUGGCGGCAGGCCUAACACAUGCAAGUCGAACGAGUGGCGGACGGGUGACUAAUGUCUGGGAAAGUGCCUGAUGGAUGGGGAUAACUACUGGAAACGGUAGCUACUACCGCAUACAUUCGCAUGGGCCCAGAUGGGAUUAGCUAGUGGGGGGGGUAAAGGCUCACCUAGGCGACGAACCCUAGCUGGACUGAGAGGAUGACCAGCCACACUGGAACUGAGACACGGUCCAGACUCCUACGGGAGGCAGCAGUGGGGAAUAUUGCACAAUGGGCGCAAGCCUGAUGCAGCCAUGCCGCGUGUGUGAAGAAGGCCUUCGGGUUGUAAAGUACUUUCAGCGGGGAGGCGUUACCCGCAGAAGAAGCACCGGCUAACUCCGUGCCAGCAGCCGCGGUAAUAC
rnacentral:rRNA from 1 species